GCCAAGUCGAACGGCAGCGCGAGAGAGCUUGCUCUCUUGGCGGCGAGUGGCGGACGGGUGAGUAAUAUAUCGGAACGUGCCCAGUAGCGGGGGAUAACUACUCGAAAGAGUGGCUAAUACCGCAUACGCCCUACGGGGGAAAGGGGGGGAUCGCAAGACCUCUCACUAUUGGAGCGGCCGAUAUCGGAUUAGCUAGUUGGUGGGGUAAAGGCUCACCAAGGCAACGAUCCGUAGCUGGUUUGAGAGGACGACCAGCCACACUGGGACUGAGACACGGCCCAGACUCCUACGGGAGGCAGCAGUGGGGAAUUUUGGACAAUGGGGGAAACCCUGAUCCAGCCAUCCCGCGUGUAUGAUGAAGGCCUUCGGGUUGUAAAGUACUUUUGGCAGAGAAGAAAAGGUAUCCCCUAAUACGGGAUACUGCUGACGGUAUCUGCAGAAUAAGCACCGGCUAACUACGUGCCAGCAGCCGCGGUAAUACGUAGGGUGCAAGCGUUAAUCGGAAUUACUGGGCGUAAAGCGUGUGUAGGCGGUUCGGAAAGAAAGAUGUGAAAUCCCAGGGCUCAACCUUGGAACUGCAUUUUUAACUGCCGAGCUAGAGUAUGUCAGAGGGGGGUAGAAUUCCACGUGUAGCAGUGAAAUGCGUAGAUAUGUGGAGGAAUACCGAUGGCGAAGGCAGCCCCCUGGGAUAAUACUGACGCUCAGACACGAAAGCGUGGGGAGCAGACAGGAUUAGAUACCCUGGUAGUCCACGCCCUAGACGAUGUCAACUAGCUGUUGGGGCCGUUAGGCCUUAGUAGCGCAGCUAACGCGUGAAGUUGACCGCCUGGGGAGUACGGUCGCAAGAUUAGAACUCAAAGGAAUUGACGGGGACCCGCACAAGCGGUGGAUGAUGUGGAUUAAUUCGAUGCAACGCGAAAAACCUUACCUACCCUUGACAUGUCUGGAAAGCCGAAGAGAUUUGGCCGUGCUCGCAAGAGAACCGGAACACAGGUGCUGCAUGGCUGUCGUCAGCUCGUGUCCUGAGAUGUUGGGUUAAGUCCCGCAA
rnacentral:rRNA from 1 species